rnacentral:rRNA from 1 species
AACGAACGCUGGCGGCAUGCCUAACACAUGCAAGUCGAACGAGACCUUCGGGUCUAGUGGCGCACGGGUGCGUAACGCGUGGGAACCUGCCCUUAGGUUCGGAUUAACUCCCCGAAAGGGGUGCUAAUACCGGCUAUUGUCUCCGGACCAAAGAUUUAUCGCCUUUGGAUGGGCCCGCGUUGUAUUAGCUAGUUGGUAGGGUAAAAGCCUACCAAGGCGACGAUCCAUAGCUGGUCUGAGAGGAUGGGCAGCCACACUGGGAGUGAGAAACGGCCCAGACUCCUACGGGAGGGAGCAGUGGGGAAUAUUGGAAAGUGGGCGGAAGCCUGAUCCAGCUAGGCCGCGUGAGUGAUGAAGGCCGUAGGGUUGUAAAGCUCUUUUACCCGGGAUGAUAAUGACAGUACCGGGAGAAUAAGCUCCGGCUAACUCCGUG